AGUGAACGCUGGCGGCGUGCUUAACACAUGCAAGUCGAACGAGAACGGAUUAUAGCUUGCUAUAAUUGUCAGCUAAGUGGCGCACGGGUGAGUAAUGUAUAGGUAAUAUGCCUCUUACUAAGGGAUAACAAAUGGAAACGUUUGCUAAUACCUUAUACUCCUUAUUAACAGAAGUUAAUAAGGGAAAGAUUUAGUGGUAAGAGAUUAGCCUGUAUUGUAUCAGUUAGUUGGUGGGGUAAUGGCUUACCAAGAAUAUGACACAUAACUGGUUUGAGAGGAUGAUCAGUCACACUGGAACUGAGACACGGUCCAGACUCCUACGGGAGGCAGCAGUGGGGAAUAUUGCACAAUGGACGAAAGUCUGAUGCAGCAACGCCGCGUGGAGGAUGACACAUUUUGGUGCGUAAACUCCUUUUAUAUGAGAAGAUAAUGACGGUAUUAUAUGAAUAAGCACCGGCUAACUCCGUGCCAGCCGCCGCCGUAAAAC
rnacentral:rRNA from 1 species